GACCGAUAGCGCACAAGUAGAGUGAUCGAAAGAUGAAAAGCACUUUGAAAAGAGGGUUAAACAGUCACGUGAAAUUGUUAAAAGGGAAGCGCUUGUGACCAGACUUGCGUCCGGUGAAUCACCCAGCUCUCGCGGCUGGGGCACUUCGCCGGCUCAGGCCAGCAUCAGCUCGCUGUCGGGGACAAAAGCUUCAGGAACGUAGCUCUCUUCGGGGAGUGUUAUAGCCUGUUGCAUAAUACCCUUCGGCGGGCUGAGGUACGCGCUCCGCAAGGAUGCUGGCAUAAUGGUCAUCAGCGACCCGUCUUGAAACACGGACCAAGGAGUCAACCU
rnacentral:rRNA from 1 species